UGGGGAAUAUUGCGCAAUGGACGGAAGUCUGACGCAGCAACGCCGCGUGAGGGAUGACGGCCUUCGGGUUGUAAACCUCUUUCAGCAGGGACGAAGCGUGAGUGACGGUACCUGCAGAAGAAGGACCGGCCAACUACGUGCCAGCAGCCGCGGUAAUACGUAGGGUCCGAGCGUUGUCCGGAAUUAUUGGGCGUAAAGGGCUCGUAGGCGGUUCGUCACGUCGGGAGUGAAAACUCGGGGCUUAACUCCGAGCCUGCUUCCGAUACGGGCAGACUAGAGGUAGGCAGGGGAGAGCGGAACUCCUGGUGUAGCGGUGGAAUGCGCAGAUAUCAGGAAGAACACCGGUGGCGAAGGCGGCUCUCUGGGCCUUACCUGACGCUGAGGAGCGAAAGCGUGGGUAGCGAACAGGAUUAGAUACCCUGGUAGUCCACGCCGUAAACGUU
rnacentral:rRNA from 1 species